rnacentral:rRNA from 1 species
GAUGAACGCUAGCGGCAGGCUUAACACAUGCAAGUCGAGGGGCAGCGCGGGAUAGCAAUAUCCUGGCGGCGACCGGCGGAAGGGUGCGUAACGCGUGAGCGACAUGCCCGUUGCCCGGGGACAACCGGUGGAAACGCCGACUAAUCCCCGAUGGGAUACGAUGCUUCAUGGCAUUGUAUUGAAAGUUACGGCGGCGACGGAUUGGCUCGCGUCCGAUUAGCUGGUUGGCGGGGUAACGGCCCACCAAGGCUGCGAUCGGUAGGGGUUCUGAGAGGAAGGCCCCCCACAAUGGGACUGAGACACGGCCCAUACUCCUACGGGAGGCAGCAGUGAGGAGUAUUGGUCAAUGGGCGGAAGCCUGAACCAGCCAUGCCGCGUGCGGGAAGGAGGCCCUAUGGGCUGUGAACCGCUUUUGCCUGGGGGCAAUAAGGGCGUCGCGCACGUCCGAUGAGAGUACCAGGCGAAUAAGCAUCGGCUAACUCCGUG